UGCCUGAGUGGAAACCAGCAGUGAGAGACCAGAGAAGGGACUUCAGAGAUUGUUUUGAUCAGAAUGGGCAAAAUCUUCUGGGGCCUUUCAACCAGGUGCAGUUUCUCAAAGAACGUAUUCCAGACAGACAUGAUCCUUCCAGUGUGUUGGGUUUUUGCUCUUACAGUCCAACCCGUCACCAUAUUCUACCUAAAAACAUUGCAGUUGCUGGAGGCCUUUCCUUUCAGAAAACACUUAUUAUUGUUUGGAGAGUCUGAUCUGGGAUUGCUUUGGAUUGAUUUUCAGGGGAUGUUAUCUUUUUGAUAGUCAGUUUACACUUACACAUAGUUCCUUGGUGUCACUAUGUCGUUAACAUAUCAUAUGUCACUAACAGUGUGAUUUAAUUUAAUUAGGUGUCCGAAAUGCAGGAUACAGGUCUGAGCUCAGAGGCAGCUGGCACCUGGAUCAAAGACUCAGGGUACCACUGGACUGAGAGUCCGGAGUUAGAGGUGGAUGCGACAUCAGUAACCCCACAAGACCAAUCCCAUGAUGCACCUAGUACGAGCAGUACUAGUGAAGUGGGACACACAGGGACCAGUUCCCCUGCGAGUGAGAUCACUCCAGCACAGGUCUUCCCUUAUGGCGUGGUGUGUCACCAUUAUGGGAAUGGCGUGGCUCCGGAUGUCCUGAGGAGCAGGCUGGAGGAGCUGAUCUCCAGAGCCCUGCCAGACCUGGAGACUGAGGAGCCACUGGAGUCUAGAGUUCAGCCCGCUUGUCUCCAGCCCUUGGACAGCCAAGACCUCCUCGGCCUCACUCAGAGUGUAGGGAAUGACAGCUCCUUCAGCUCCCAGGCACAGAGCAGGGAGACCUUCGUCAUGGAGGGCACAGAUGAAAGCAUGUGUCCCUCUCUGGAGGAGGCCAGGAGGUAUGCCAUGACCCCUGGUGGCAUGCACAGUCCUCCCUCCAGUGCCCUGGGGGAUGUUAGUCUCCUUCAAGCUGCUGCACAUCGCCUGGCUGAUGUGAAUCCCCUGGAAGUGUCUGCACAUAUUCUUCCAUGCGGCCUCCCUGGGCUUUCAGUGAUGAUGAGGAAGGUCCCACCUUCUUCCUGCACCUACAGUGGUUCAUCGUCUUCACCGGGACCUGCCAUUACAAACAGGGACCUGGCGGACACCGUUGUUUCUGGAGGCUUGAGCUCGGGCAGGCAGCUGGAGCUGAUGGAGGAGGACCUGAUGGCCGCCAGGCAGGCUCUGCAGCAGAAUGCCCUGGUUGAGGAAGAAGUGAAACAGAAGAGACUUAAAACUUCAAGUCAAGAUCAGAUACUGGCUUCAGCCAAGAGGAAGCUAGAGGAAGGGAUACAAGCUAGGGCUGCUCUGGAACAAGAAAAGUACAGCCUGCUGGAGAGUCUGGACAAGAGCAGACAGGAGACAGAGGUAUUACAGGGCAUUUGGGCUCAGAAGGACAAUGGGUCUGA
rnacentral:lncRNA from 1 species